GCGCCCGUAGCUCAGCGGAUAGAGCGUUGGCCUGCGGAGCCAAAGGUCGCCCGUUCAAAUCGGGCCGGGCGCGCCA
rnacentral:tRNA from 1 species